rnacentral:rRNA from 1 species
UGAAGUUAAAGNCAUUGGCUCAACCAAUGUAUGCUUUGGAAACUGUUAGACUUGAGUGCAGAAGGGGAGAGUGGAAUUCCAUGUGUAGCGGUGAAAUGCGUAGAUAUAUGGAGGGACACCGGUGGCGAAAGCGGCUCUCUGGUCUGUCACUGACGCUGAGGCUCGAAAGCGUGGGUAGCGAACAGGAUUAGAUACCCUGGUAGUNCACGCCGUAAACGCUGAGUGCUAGGUGUUAGGUCCUNUCCGGGACUUAGUGCCGACGCUAACGCAUUAAGCACUCCGCCUGGGGAGUACGACCGCAAGGUUGAAACUCAAAGGAAUUGACGGGGGCCCGCACAAGCGGUGGAGCAUGUGGUUUAAUUCGAAGCAACGCGAAGAACCUUACCAGGUCUUGACAUCCCGAUGCCCGCUCUAGAGAUAGAGUUUUUCUUCGGAACAUCGGAGACAGGUGGUGCAUGGUUGUCGUCAGCUCGUGUCGUGAGAUGUUGGGUUAAGUCCCGCAACGAGCGCAACCCUUAUUGUUAGUUGCCAUCAUUAAGUUGGGCACUCUAGCGAGACUGCCGGUAAUAAACCGGAGGAAGGUGGGGAUGACGUCAAAUCAUCAUGCCCCUUAUGACCUGGGCUACACACGUGCUACAAUGGUUGGUACAACGAGUCGCAAGCCGGUGACGGCAAGCUAAUCUCUGAAAGCCAAUCUCAGUUCGGAUUGUAGGCUGCAACUCGCCUACAUGAAGUCGGAAUCGCUAGUAAUCGCGGAUCAGCACGCCGCGGUGAAUACGUUCCCGGGCCUUGUACACACCGCCCGUCACACCACGAGAGUUUGUAACACCCAAAGUCGGUGAGGUAACCAUUUAUGGGGCCAGCCGC